ensembl:lincRNA
GCUCACACAGGUUUGUUCCUGCAUGCACUUCUACAGCAUCUUCCCAUGUCAAAUUAGGCUCUCUCACACCAGCAGUUGUUUCCUAAGGCUGAAAACGGAAGUACUCUUUGUCCUGCUGAAUUGUUUCCUCAAAAGUGUCUCCAAGGAGGGUAACUGGGAGAGGACUGACGUCCCAUUCCACCAUGCGCUUCCUGAGACUACAGCCAGCUCUAAGAAGCCUCAAAGGAGGAUUCCAGGAAAACAGUUUUCUCUGUUGUAUGAGAGAGAUCAUGGCUCUCAGGGGUGGGCGGGCCACAUGGCGAAAGCUCUUUCCCACUCAGUAACUGAAGGCCCCCAGUACUAAAAGUAGCUGGAAGCCUUGAGCCUGUGCUCCAGUUUUGCCUUCACGAUGAAAAGGAGAGCGAUGACCUAGGAGCACAGCGAGCUGAGUAGGGGUGGGGUGGAGCGGUCCAGUAGCACCUGUAUGAUUUAAGUUCAGAAAAUGAUACUGGUCACAAAUCACCGCAGAAACGAUGCUUUUGCCCAGAAGAGUAAGCAGGUCUUACGUGGAGAUACAGCGUUUUUGAAUGAGAGCGGGAAGGGAACAGGUGGCAGAGAAAAACUAGCACUGAACGGGAGCGGGCUUUCAGGCACUCAGGAAAACUCAUCCCGUGGGACGCCUGUAAGGUGUUCCAGUUCCUUCCAGUCUGUGGACGCCAGCUGGAGGAACUUACUAUCCCACAAGGGCUCGUAAACACUGCAGCGAUGGGCAAAGAAUAAUUUUCUGCUCUGUAGGUUUCGAGAGAACUGGAAUGAAAAUCCAGAACACCAGAUUCCGUUUACAUGUACGUAGGACGGCACCAACACAAAUGAUGGUGGCCCGCAGAGCUACCGGUGCUCCUGGUGGGACUCCAUGGCUCCCCACCUCCUUCCUUAGUUGUCGGCAUUCGGAAGUCCUUAGUCACCCGAGGGAGAAGUUAGGGAGACACCUUCUGAUAUCUUCUUUAUAACCUCUGUGUACACUGCCAUAAAGUGCUGGUUAGAAUUCUCAGCCUUCCCCUGCUCUUCUGCAGACACUCCAUGCUCUGGCUGCCACUUAACCUUCCCCAGCACUUCCUAGUUUCCUGUGCCUCCAAGUCUCUGCCUGUGACCUUCUCCUUGGUUCCCCGGAAUCCACUUUCCAAACAUUUUGUCCAAUUAACAAACUCCUGCUUCUGCCAGGCUGACCUCCAGGCUGACAUUCCUACUGGAGCCUUCAGUAACUCAUACCCACCCCGAGCCAUGCAAAAUUGUAUUCCUCCCUGCCUCAGUUACUGGAGAACACGUUGGUCACACGCAGUAGUGUCUAGAGGAUGAGCUCCUGUAAUACAGAGAGCUUAUACCCUUAUCUGCGGCACAUUGCCUAGCACAUAGCAGUCUUUACAUAUACAUUUUGUGGAAUAAAUGACCUUCCAAAUUCUAGUUUUCUCUACUUAAUGUUGCCAAUUAUACCAACUUUAUGAAUAAAUCACCAUAAGCAUACUUUUAUCAUCUCUAUUAUGAAAAAACACACAUGUUUGAUAGAUUUAUUGGCAGAUUAAGAGGAAAUUUAUUCAUUCAACCAAAAAGGCAUGUGGUGUGUGUGUGUGUGUUGUGUUCAUGUAUACACCACACAGAACAAUAUCUAUAAUAGGGAAGGUGUACAAGAAGUUUUAAUUUAUCCUUUUACUAGGUCAUUGGAUAAAAUAAAAAUACUAAUUACACAUUCAUGUUUUUAAAUGCUUGUAAUGUUCAAAAUGCCAAAGCCUUUAAAAAAUCCACCAACUAAAAAUGAUUUCCUAAAUGUAGUAAAAUGCUAUAGUCUGUGUCCUGGUAGUUAAGCACAGAGAUAUUUGACAAGUGCUUAAUACAGUGUGCUUAGAGUUCUAAAUAGUGUCUCAAUAAAGAACUAAAGAAGCUCAAGAGUAAUGAAAUAAUAAGGCAGGAAAAAUGUAUUCAAAGAAUAAACAUCAGUUAUAAGAAAAAUGUAUUAAUGUUUGAGGUAUUCAGAGAAUUUGUUCUUAAAUGGCAUCUUUGUAAAAGAAAAAAAGGCCAAUCUAAGUAAGAACAAGUGUUAAAUCCCCCAAGUCUUCAGUUUAGGUAUAAAUUUGGACUAAACUUUGUGGAAGACUUUGGGAGAGAGAAAGUGAGCGUAAAGACAUUCUUUUCAUAAGUUGGAUUAUUAACAGAUAUGUGAUUAUUUUCACAGAAAGUAUAGACUCAGUGAUGAAAAGAAGUUUUCUUCUGUCUUGAAGUAUGAUAAGCAGAGAUCCCAUUCCUGAACAUGACAUGAGUGGAUACACUGGAAGAACCAAAUUUCCAAAGGGCCUGUGUAGGAUAAUUUUCAAAUGUAAUACAUAAAGUAAGAGUUGUAAAUUCGUUGGCGCGAUCUGAGUCACUGUUCUCAUCGCUGAGACAAAGUACCCAACACUCACAGUUUAGGGAGGAGAGAGUCACUUGGGCCCAGUCCAUAGUCGCCUGGCGCCAUGGCAGAAAUGGCACCGCAGGAAGGGAGAGCAGAAGAAAGCUGCGUGUGUCACGGCGGCCGUGAAACAAGGAAGAUGGAAGCAGCCCGGGGGAGAUGUGCCCUUCCACUCUCUCCCACUCACCUCUUCCCAACUAGACUGCACCUCCCACCAGGACAGUGCGCUGUAGACUCUCCAGUAGAGGCGUGUAUAGCUCCCCCGUGAUGCAGUCAUUCACAAGGGCCCCAGCUCUGAACACAUGAGCUUUGGGGGACGUUCU